rnacentral:rRNA from 1 species
AGUGAACGCUGGCGGUAGGCCUAACACAUGCAAGUCGAACGGCAGCACAGUAAGAGCUUGCUCUUACGGGUGGCGAGUGGCGGACGGGUGAGGGAUACAUCGGAAUCUACUUUUUCGUGGGGGAUAACGUAGGGAAACUUACGCUAACACCGCAUACGACCUACGGGUGAAAGCAGGGGAUCUUCGGACCUUGCGCGAUUGAAUGAGCCGAUGUCGGAUUAGCUAGUUGGCGGGGUAAAGGCCCACCAAGGCGACGAUCCGUAGCUGGUCUGAGAGGAUGAUCAGCCACACUGGAACUGAGACACGGUCCAGACUCCUACGGGAGGCAGCAGUGGGGAAUAUUGGACAAUGGGCGCAAGCCUGAUCCAGCCAUACCGCGUGGGUGAAGAAGGCCUUCGGGUUGUAAAGCCCUUUUGUUGGGAAAGAAAAGCAGCAGGUUAAUACCCCGCUGUUCUGACGGUACCCAAAGAAUAAGCACCGGCUAACUUCGUG